rnacentral:misc_RNA from 1 species
GCUCCAACAACAGAUUAAGAUCGUCUUCUUUAACAAGCAAGUGUUGUACCAAUAUCUCUCUUGCAUCUACAGAGCCACUCCCAGCGCUAAAUGAAGCUUUGAGGCAUGGAUGGCCUACCAUAGUAGGGAGCCGCUUGAAACCAAUAGAAGGCGAAUUGGGUUUCCUGCUUUUGGGCGAGGCAAGUGUGGAGAGUUUAUUGAGGUGAGAAGGCGAUGAAGAAGAAUGAGAAGAAAGGGAGAGGAUAGGAAUCAAUGAUAGUUUAAGAGCAGAUAGAGUAGGUGACGUUAUUGGUGCAAGGUGAGAUGCUCUUAGCAUUGCUGCUUCGGGUUUUUGAAUUCGACGCCGGAGACGAAAAAGAAUGGAACUUUAUGUAAAGCACAGCGUCACUGGGUCGCUUCUAUCCGCCGGAAGUUUGAUUAUGCUCGCUUUGUUUCAGA